rnacentral:rRNA from 1 species
AUUGAACGCUGGCGGCAGGCCUAACACAUGCAAGUCGAGCGGAUGAAGGUAGCUUGCUCCUUGAUUCAGCGGCGUACGUGUGAGUAAUGCCUAGGAAUCUGUCUGGCAUGGGUGGAUAACGUCCUGAAACGGGCGCUAAUACCGCAUACGUCCUGAGUGCGAAAUAGGAGGAUCUUCGGACCUGACGCUAUCAGAUGAGCAUAGGUCGGAUUAGCUAGAUGGUGGGGUAAAGGCCUACCAAGGCGACGAUCCGUAACUGGUCUGAGAGGAUGAUCAGUCACACUGGAACUGAGACACGGUCCACACUCCUACAGGAGGCAGCAGUGGGGAAUCUUGGACGAUGGGCGAAAGCGUGAUACAGCACAACCGCGUGUGUGAAGAAGGACUUCGGCUUGUAGAGCACUUUAAGUUGUGAGGAAGGGCAGUAAGUUAAGAACUUGAUGUUUUGACGUUACCAAAAGAAUAAGCACCGGCUAACUUCGUG